ACCGUUCAGGGGUAAACCUGAGAAACCCAAAAGAUCGAAUGGGGAGAUUCAUCGUCAGCUCAUUUUGUAUAUAUAUAAGUUAUGAUAUGGGUUACUACUUGUAGUAUUGCCUGUACAUUCUUGUAUAUUUUAUUGCAUUAUGUUGUCGGCGUGCACUUCUCCCCUAGUAGGACGUCGCGACCCGUUGGGUGUCGGUCUACGGCCCAAGUGGUAGCCUUUAAUUUUUAUUAAUUGAAGACCCUUGGUGUUUCCUGGCUGGCUACUCGGCGGUAUUCGUACGGUAUUAAGCCGCAUUUUUUAUGCGUUCAUAUCCGUCGCAAGCGCGGUCAAUUUUUGGUAGUACGGACCUAGUGCCGUCGCUAUAAUUGACCAGCUGUUGGUUGUACGGGAUUCUAGAACUGGCUUUAAAUUAAAUACCGGUCAGCGAUGCUACUGCUUUGGGUACUUUCAGGA
rnacentral:rRNA from 1 species